rnacentral:rRNA from 1 species
ACACGUAUGAAAGUCAAGCUGAAAGACUUUACUCAAUGAUGUAAGUGGUGGUGCAUGGCCGUUCGUGGUUCGUGGAUUGAUUCGUCUGGUUAAUUCCGUUAACGAGCGAGACCCUAACGUUCUAAAUAGGGGGUCACAGCCCACCCGGUCGAAAGGCCGGGUAGCCGUAGCCUAUAUAAACUUCUUAGACGUAUCAGGGCCGAUAAGGUCCUUGAAAUGGGUUAAUAACAGGUUUCUUGACGGCCUGUAACAGUCGGCAGCGCUAGCCGGCUAGUGGGACCUGGUUGCCCGUACCCUGCACCCGUCUUGCCAGGCGGUUGUGGGCGAAAAGUGACCGGGGCCUGCGACACCUUCAAAUUGCGAGGACACCCUAAAGGCUGAACCUACCAACUGCGCGCCGAAAGGCGGAAAAAUGACCAGCGUUACCGACCCCUUUACCGGGGCAGCUGGGUCCGCAGGGCUGGGAAGCAUCCCCAGGUACGGUAAAAAUGGUCAGCAUGAGCCCCCGAUCCCAGAGCCUGAUUUUCCUUCCCUGUGCCAGGGGAGGGGGGGUCAUGGUCCAGGGCUACGGGGUGAAAUGGGUUACCCGCAGCCAAAUCCUACGGAGCAGGCGACCAGAGUCAGGUGUGGGGGGGUGGCUCCCCCCAUGCCCGGACUCAGCGUCCCAGCCCUUGGAUGCAGUUCACAGACUAGACGGAGGUGGGGUCGCAGCGAUGGGUAUCCUGAACCAAUAACGGGUACCCGGAGCGAUCCUAAGAUAUAGUCGAAACCCGAGGCGAAAGCCACGGGUAGGGUUGCAGUCAUGCCCUUAGAUGUUCUGGGCCGCACGCGCGUUACAAUGGCACGUAAAGCGAGUGCUCCUGGUUGAGUUGACCGUGGCCGAAAGGCUUCGGGAAUCCAUAAUCCCUGCCUUGUCUGGGAUAGACUCUUGAAAUUAUCGGUCUUGAACGAGGAAUUUUUAGUAAUAGCCAGGUCACUAGCCUGCGCUGA